CCUACGGGAGGUAGCAGUGGGGAAUAUUGGGCAAUGGGCGCAAGCCUGACCCAGCAACGCCGCGUGAAGGAAGAAGGCUUUCGGGUUGUAAACUUCUUUUAUCAGGGACGAAGCAAGAGACGGUACCUGAUGAAUAAGGCACGGCUAACUACGUGCCAGCCUCCGCGGUAAUACGUAGGUGGCAAGAGUUAUCCGGAUUUACUGGGGGUAAAGGGCGUGUAGGCGGGAGUGUAAGUCAGAUGUGAAAACUAUGGGCUCAACCCAUAGCCUGCAUUUGAAACUGGACUUCUUGAGUGCUGGAGAGGCAAUCGGAAUUCGGUGUGUAGCGGUGAAAUGCGUAGAUAUACGGAGGAACACCAGUGGCGAAGGCAGAUUGCUGGACAGUAACUGACGCUGAGGCGCGAAAGCGUGGGGAGCAAACAGGAUUAGAUACCCCGGUAGUC
rnacentral:rRNA from 1 species